rnacentral:rRNA from 1 species
UGCGUAGGCGGUCCGGUAAGUUGGGUGUGAAAUCCCUCGGCUCAACCGAGGAACUGCGCCCAAUACUGCCGGGCUGGAGGGAGACAGAGGUGAGCGGAACUUAGGGUGGAGCGGUGAAAUGCGUUGAUAUCCUAAGGAACACCAGUGGCGAAAGCGGCUCACUGGGUCUCUUCUGACGCUGAGGCACGAAAGCUAGGGGAGCGAACG